rnacentral:rRNA from 1 species
CUACGUAGGGGGCGAGCGUUGUCCGGAAUGAUUGUGCGUAAAGGGCGCGUAGGCGGCCCGGUAAGUCUGGAGUGAAAGUCCUGUUUUUAAGAUGGGAAUUGCUUUGGAUACUGUCGGGCUUGAGUGCAGGAGAGGUAAGUGGAAUUCCCAGUGUAGCGGUGAAAUGCGUAGAGAUUGGGAGGAACACCAGUGGCGAAGGCGACUUACUGGACUGUAACUGACGCUGAGGCGCGAAAGUGUGGGGAGCAAACAGGAUUAGAUACCCUGGUAGUCCACACUGUAAACGAUGAAUGCUAGGUGUAGGGGGUAUCGACCCCUUCUGUGCCGCAGUCAACACAAUAAGCAUUCCGCCUGGGGAGUACGGCCGCAAGGUUGAAACUCAAAUGAAUUGACGGGG